rnacentral:rRNA from 1 species
UACGGAGGAUGCAAGCGUUAUCCGGAUUUAUUGGGUUUAAAGGGUGCGUAGGCGGGAAGAUAAGUCAGUGGUGAAAUCUUAUAGCUUAACUAUAAAACUGCCAUUGAUACUGUUUUUCUUGAGUGUAGUUGAAGUAAAUGGAAUGUGUUGUGUAGCGGUGAAAUGCAUAGAUAUAACACAGAACACCUAUUGCGAAAGCAGUUUACUAAGCUAUUACUGACGCUGAGGCACGAAAGCGUGGGGAUCAAACAGG